rnacentral:rRNA from 1 species
GUGGGGAAUAUUCCGCAAUGGACGAAAGUCUGACGGAGCAACGCCGCGUGAGUGAUGAAGGUUUUCGGACUGUAAAGCUCUGUUGUUUAGGACGAAAGUGCCUGUUGCAAAUAGUUACAGGUAUUGACGGUACUGAACGAGGAAGCCACGGCUAACUACGUGCCAGCAGCCGCGGUAAUACGUAGGUGGCAAGCGUUGUCCGGAAUUAUUGGGCGUAAAGAGCAUGUAGGCGGGAAUCUAAGUCUGUUGUGAAAAUGCGGGGCUCAACCCCGUAUUGCGAUGGAAACUGGGUUUCUUGAGUGCAGGAGAAGAAAGGGGAAUUCCCAGUGUAGCGGUGAAAUGCGUAGAUAUUGGGAGGAACACCAGUGGCGAAGGCGCCUUUCUGGACUGUGUCUGACGCUGAGAUGCGAAAGCCAGGGUAGCGAACGGGAUUAGAAACCCUAGUAGUCC